AUGCGCCGCCUACUCCGGCCGGCGAAAGCGGCGGCCUCCGUGGCCGCCGGGGCCGCGGUACUGGCGUCGCUCGGCGAGGUCGCGUACGCGGAUAGCGUCUUCUCCUUCCGCCGCCAGCCCGCCGCCCCUCCUCCUCCACCUCCAGAUGCCCCCGCCCCCGCCGCCGCCUCGUCCGGCUCCAGCGGGUUCGACCCCGAGGAGCUGGAGCGCGGGGCCCGCGCGCUGCGGCAGAUCAAUGGCUCCCGGUACGCCAAGCUGCUGUUUGGGCUGAUGCAGAGCCAGGAGGAGACGCGCCUCGCGGAGAUGGCUGCGGAGAAGGUCCGCCACGAUAUCUACUGGAAAGUCAAGGAAAUCGAGGCGAAGCGGAAAAUGGGUGAAGAAUAUAGAGAAAAUUUGAAACAGCAAUCACAAAUUGAGGCACAAAGGUUACGCUACGAGGAUGAGUUAGCUAAGAAAAGAAAGCAGGAAGAGCGUGAAGCUGAAAGACGACGGGAUGCUGAACUUGUAAGGAUGCAAGAGAUUGGUGCCUUAAAAAGAGAACAAGCUAGGCGUGCCACAGAACAGAAGAUUUUAGAGCAAGAGCUACAGACUCUGAAAGAAAGGGCUAAAAAUGAUCGUGAGACAAACAAAGAGAAUGCUAUUUCUAAUGCUAAAGCUAAAGCUCAUGAAGCAAAGCUGACAGAAGAUUAUGAAAGAAGAAUGCUUGUGGAACUCAUGAAUGGCGAAAAAGAGAAGUGGCUUGCUGCAAUAAAUACCACCUUUCAACAUAUAGAAGGUGGGUUAAGAACAUUAUUGACUGAUAGGAGUAAGCUAGUAAUGGGUAUUGGAGGAGUCACUGCACUAGCUGCUGGAGUUUACACUACUAGGGAAGGAGCCAGGGUUACAUGGGGUUACGUCAAUAGAAUUUUGGGUCAGCCUUCACUGAUUCGUGAAUCAUCAAUGCGAAAGUUUCCAUUGCCAGGUCUUAAGGCUCUUAAACCUAGCUCUGCAUCUCUGUCGGGAGGUGCGGGCUUUGAGAAUGUUAUUCUUCACCCUUCACUCAAACGGAGGAUUGAACAUCUUGCACGAGCAACUGCAAAUACGAAAUCUCAUGAUGCGCCAUUCCGCAAUAUGUUGUUCUAUGGACAUCCUGGAACUGGCAAGACUUUAGUAGCCAGGGAAAUGGCUCGCAAAUCUGGCCUUGAUUAUGCAAUGAUGACAGGGGGAGAUGUUGCACCAUUAGGAUCAGAGGCUGUUACCAAGAUCCAUGAAAUCUUCGACUGGGCUAAGAAGUCCCAAAAAGGAAUGCUUCUUUUCAUUGAUGAGGCUGAUGCAUUCUUGUGCGAGCGUAACAGUACCCAUAUGAGUGAAGCCCAGCGGAGUGCUCUCAAUGCACUAUUAUUUCGAACUGGUGACCAAUCAAGGGACAUCGUUCUUGUCCUUGCAACCAACCGACCGGGUGAUCUUGAUGCUGCUAUUACUGACCGAAUUGAUGAAGUUAUCGAGUUUCCCCUACCUGGGGAAGAGGAGCGGUUUCAGCUGCUCAAGUUAUACUUGAACAACUACAUGCCCAAGGAAGAUGACAAGCGUUCUCCUUGGAGCACACUGCUGAAGAAGCAGCCGAAGAAGAUACACGUACGGGACAUAAGUGAUGAUCUCCUGAGGGAUGCUGCGCGCAAGAUUGAUGGCUUCUCCGGCAGAGAGAUUGCGAAGCUGAUGGCCAGUGUGCAGGCUGCUGUCUACGGGAGUCCUGACUGCAUAUUGAAUCCGCAGCUGUUCCGCGAGGUGGUUGAGUACAAGAUCGGCGAGCACCAGCAGCGCAUGAAGCUUGCUUCGGAGGCUGCAGCUUGA
rnacentral:rRNA from 1 species